rnacentral:lncRNA from 1 species
AUCUCCUCGACCACCUGGGCUCCUUCUCACCCUACGUUAAUCUCCUUCUCAGCUCGAACCUCUCCCUCAGCGACCUCUGCUUCUUCCUCCUCAUCAUCAGAUUCUAGAGGUUGGAGGUCGAGGUCGGGGAAUCAAUUUCGGACCUUCACCUUGAAGUCCAUGAGCCCCUACAAGUAAGACUCAGAGGUAAACUCCAGCUUGAUCAUCCAAAAUUCUUCUGA